ensembl:lncRNA
AGAGUCAAGUUCAUUCCCUGUUAGCUCAGGGAAAAGAAUCAUUCUAAUCUCACAUUAAUCCCUUUUGAAUGAUCAUCACAUAUCCCAGAAUCCUCUCUGAGUGUCUGCCAGAAAUCAUGGCACCCACAGUCACCAGAGCCCCUGUCCCAACCACACUUUUUCAUUGCCAGCUCAGGUUUUCCUCUAAAGCUCUGGCUCAUGAUCAAUCCCUCAUUUCAGCAAGGACAGUUAAAUGAGAUGAUACCAUUUUAAUCUGUUGUCCUUUGCUUAAUAAGCACUGCUGUAUUUCCAAACUGCCCAGAAAAAGCCAUCCUUAAAGGCUCAUUUUUCCUUUAUAAAAUGGAAUUAUAAAACUUGUCUGGGAUGGAACUUUAACCAAUUACAACUCCACGUGUGCUGCCAGAGGUGUUUGACACCCGCCGCACAAGCCAUACUAAUCUCUCAGGAUUCAGGAAUAAGAAGAGUCGCCACUCCUAAUCACUCCCAGCUACUUACACGGCCGUAUAUACACUGGAUUAGCACUUGGCAAAGGCAAAAGGGCAGAUGAGUCAUUCAUCCUUCGUACCUGCGCCAUCACAGAACAAAUCACACCAAUGCAUGCCACUGUAACUCAGGAUCUGUGCACCAAGGCACCAAUCCUAAAAAACAACGUUUAUACACUGAGAGUAACAUGAAAAACCAGAACCCGUUCUGCUAGCCAGGGAAACAUUAUUACAGGAGAACUGCAGAAACUUUAAAGUUUAUCACAAUUAGCCAUAUGAAACAUAGUGAAGCAUAGUUUUUUUUUUUUUCUUCUUCUUUUCAAAACAGUUGAUAUAGUUGACUCUUUGUUAAGCUCCACACCCUUGGUUCUGUUGCUCAUUUAGAAAAACAUUACAAAUUGUCUCUCAUACAAAGCAACAGUUCUUAAAUUAUUACAAGAAUCUGAAAAGCACAUUUAGCAGGUGUUACUUGCAUUGUUACAUCCCCGUCACACCCUGUGCCAUGUGGUAAAGGGUAACGGCGCUACCUGUGGCUGAAUGUUUGCAGCCAUGUCCUUCAGAGAUCAUACAUAUUUAUGAGGGCAAUGUGCAACCCUUUAAUCCACCAUGAAAUCAACUGUCUGAAUACUUUAUCUAAUUAAAAUGGGCUAGAUUGUAUGCACGGAAUAGGAUUUAUUCAGUUAUAUUCUUUUAUAUCAGAUUUUCUUUUCUCAUUUUUCUUUUGUCUUAUUUUGUGUGUGGAUAUGAUGGUCAAUGCAGUUUUUUUCAACUUGCAACUUGUCAAUGUGCAAAAUGUGAUGUUCAUGAAAUAUCAAACAGGUGCUGCUAAAAUGCAUAAGUAAUAGCUUUACAGAUUUUACUGACAGCUGUACAUCAAUCGUCAAGUCCACAAAUGCCACCUUAUCUUAUGGCCCUGUUCUGAUGUCUUUCAUAGUUUUUGCAAAAUGUAAUCCAAAUGAACGAUUCUUACUUGUUUCUAAUUUCUGUAAAGAAAUCUGUUGUUUGGGACACAUAUUUCUAUUUUGUAACUGACCUUUGAAGGUUUUCUUUUGUAUCUUGUGGUUGUGGAUUGUGUACAAUGACUUAAUUAAACACCUUGAAUGAACUCAA